rnacentral:rRNA from 1 species
UACGGAAGGCAGCAGUGGGGAAUAUUACACAAUGGGCGAAAGCCUGAUGCAGCUAUGCCGUGUGUAUGAAGAAGGCCUUAGGGGUUGUAAAGUACUUUUCAUCGGGGAGGAAAAACAAAACUAAUAAUUUUAUUUCUUGACGUUACCCGAAAAAGAAGCACCGGCUAACUCCGUGCCAGCAGCCGCGGUAAUACGGAGGGUGCUAGCGUUAAUCAGAAUUACUGGGCGUAAAGAGCACGUAGGUGGUUUUUUUAAGUCAGAUGUGAAAUCCCUGGGCUUAACCUGGAACUGCAUUUUGAAACUGAAAUACUAGAGUAUCGUAGAGGGAGGUAGAAUUCUAGGUGUAGCGUGAAAUGCGUAGAUAUCUGGAGGAAUACCUGUGGCGAAAGCGGCCUCCUAAACGAAUACUGACACUGAGGUGCGAAAGCUGGGGAGCAAACAGGGAUUAGAUACC